rnacentral:rRNA from 1 species
UAGGGAAUCUUCCGCAAUGGACGAAAGUCUGACGGAGCGACGCCGCGUGAGCGAAGAAGGUCUUCGGAUCGUAAAGCUCUGUUGUUAGGGAAGAAGAAGCGCCGUUCGAACAGGGCGGCGCGGUGACGGUACCUAACGAGAAAGCCCCGGCUAACUACGUGCCAGCAGCCGCGGUAAUACGUAGGGGGCGAGCGUUGUCCGGAAUUAUUGGGCGUAAAGCGCGCGCAGGCGGUCCCUUAAGUCUGAUGUGAAAGCCCACGGCUUAACCGUGGAGGGUCAUUGG